CGUUGAUUGUGAAUGCAACAUUGAUUUCGAUUUUUCAUCCUAGUCUCUUUGCUUGGCUCCUUUCCCGGUGCACAAACUCCCAUCAAGGUCAGAUUCAUUUAUAGUAUCCAGGAUCAACUAUUUCUCCCGGGGUUGUAGAGAGGAACAAGAUACUUUGUGACUCCCUGCGUGCUUAAAUGGAGAUGAGGUUUUAUUCUGUGGCUGAGGGAGAGGAGACAGGUUUGGGCAGAGGCACUUGGUGGAGGGGGGAUGCAGGCAACAGCAGAAUGGCUCCGGGGACCAUUCUAGACAGAGAUGUUCCAGGCCGAAGCUGGAAACUCAAGUCGUUGGAGAAGUAUAUCUGAUAAAGCCACAUUAUACCAUUAUGAGAUUGAGUGUCGAAGGAGAAAUCCAGCUGAGGUACAGAAAACAAGGACAGAGUCCAUACCCACUGCAAACACAGGGACAGGAGCCAAGUCGGAGGUGCAGAAGGCAGCCCCAUGGCAUUGAGCACCUGAAACUUUCAUGGGUUCACAGAAGCUUGCAAUGUGUGUAUCUUCUUGUACCAAGUCUCUAACAUCUUAGACCUUCAGGGGAGUAAGAAAGUUGGUUAAACCAAUAAAUAAGAAAAACCCUUUGCA
rnacentral:lncRNA from 1 species